rnacentral:rRNA from 1 species
GCCAGACUCCUACGGGAGGCAGCAGUGAGGGAUAUUGGUCAAUGGGGGAAACCCUGAACCAGCAACGCCGCGUGAGGGAAGACGGUUUUCGGAUUGUAAACCUCUGUCCUCUGUGAAGAUAAUGACGGUAGCAGAGGAGGAAGCUCCGGCUAACUACGUGCCAGCAGCCGCGGUAAUACGUAGGGAGCAAGCGUUGUCCGGAUUUACUGGGUAUAAAGGGUGCGUAGGCGGCCCUGCAAGUCAGAAGUGAAAUCCAUGGGCUUAACCCGUGAACUGCUUUUGAAACUGUAGGGCUUGAGUGAAGUAGAGGCAGGCGGAAUUCCCGGUGUAGCGGUGAAAUGCGUAGAGAUCGGGAGGAACACCGGUGGCGAAGGCGGAUGACUGGACGACAACUGACGGUGAGGCGCGAAAGCGUGGGGAGCAAACAGGAUUAGAUACCCUAGUAU